GUGGAGAGAGGUGAAGUGACUUGCUCAACAUCACACAGUUGCCUUCCCACGUGUGUGAGACCAUUGCUGUGGAAAGAAGCCGGGCCUGACUUCAGGGAUCUGGUGUGAAAUGACUGGACCCAUGCGUUCUGAGUAAACAAGAGAGCCCCUUCUGGCUUCUCCGGGAGGAACCAAAUGGCUUCAGCAUUCAGCUCCAAAGCCCGAUGGAGACCAAGAGUGAUACACUGUACUCAUGAUCAACUGCUCAGUUCUGGUUUGGGCCUCUGAGGGCUGAUGGGGUUUGGCAGUCUCACUAUGUGGAAGCUUCACUAUUUCACAAUGAAGGCCCAGCACGGUGACUCAAACCUGUAAUCCCAGCACUUUGGAGGGCUGAGGCAAGUGGAUCACCUGAGAUCAGGAGUUCAAGACCAG
rnacentral:lncRNA from 1 species